UUAUUCGUCAGUUAUAUUGCCGAAUAAAACUAUCUACAAGAUGUCUCCAAUUUAAGCCACCGUGCUUGGGCAGUGUGAGGCUGAUGCUCACGCCGCGAAGUGAAGUGAUUUGAAAGUCACAAGGUGACUUCGCGGUAGCUGGCUCUAUAUAAGACACGCAGGCAAAGUGCCUGGCCAGUGCGAGAAUGAUGCUCACGCCGCGAAGGGAAGUGAUUUGAAAGUCACAAGGUGGCUUCACGGUAGCUGGCUCUAUAUAAGACACGCAGGCAAAGUGCCUGGCCAGUGCGAGAAUGAUGCUCACGCCGCCAAGUGAAGUGAUUUGAAAAUCACAAAGUGACUUCACGGUAGCUGGCUCUAUAUAAGACACGCAGGCAAAGUGCCUGGCCAGUGCGAGAAUGAUGCUCACGCCGCGAAGGGAAGUGAUUUGAAAGUCACAAGGUGGCUUCACGGUAGCUGGCUCUAUAUAAAACAUGCAGGCAAAGUGCCUGGCCAGUGCGAGAAUGAUGCUCACGCCGCGAAGUGAAGUGAUUUGAAAGUCACAAGGUGACUUCACGGUAGCUGGCUCUAUAUAAAACAUGCAGGCAAAGUGCCUGGCCAGUGCGAGAAUGAUGCUCACGCCGCGAAGGGAAGUGAUUUGAAAGUCACAAGGUGGCUUCACGGUAGCUGGCAAUAUAUAAAACAUGCAGGCAAAGUGCCUGGCCAGUGCGAACAUGAUGCUCACGCCGCGAAGUGAAGUGAUUUGAAAGUCACAAAGUGACUUCGCGGUAGCUGGCUCUAUAUAAGACACGCAGGCAAAGUGCCUGGCCAGUGCGAGAAUGAUGCUCACGCCGCGAAGGGAAGUGAUUUGAAAGUCACAAGGUGGCUUCACGGUAGCUGGCAAUAUAUAAAACAUGCAGGCAAAGUGCCUGGCCAGUGCGAGAAUGAUGCUCACGCCGCGAAGUGAAGUGAUUUGAAAGUCACAAGGUGACUUCACGGUAGCUGGCUCUAUAUAAAACAUGCAGGCAAAGUGCCUGGCCAGUGCGAGAAUGAUGCUCACGCCGCGAAGGGAAGUGAUUUGAACAUCACAAGGUGACUUCACGGUAGCUGGCUCUGUAUAAGAAAAGCAGGCAAGUGCCUGACCAGUGCGAGUAUGAUGCUCCCGCCGCGAAGUAAAGUGAUUUGAAAGUCACAAGGUGACUUCGCGGUAGCUGGCUCUGUAUAAGAAAAUCAGGCAAAGUGCUUAGCCAAUGAAUGAAUGAUGCUCACGCCGCGAAGUGAUGUGAUUUGGUAGUCAAGGAAUACACAGAAUUUUGAAGCACUUGUAAAUUUUGUAUUAGAAUAUCUUUUUUUCAAAAGAAAAGUGAGUUGCUCACUGAUGGUUUUUAUGAUUUGGCAAUAUUAAGGUCGAGUGGU